AUUGAACGCUGGCGGCAUGCCUUACACAUGCAAGUCGAACGGUAACGGGCCUUCGGGUGCCGACGAGAGGCGAACGGGUGAGUAAUGCAUCGGAACGUACCUUUCAGGGGGGGAUAACGUAGCGAAAGUUACGCUAAUACCGCAUAUUCUGUGAGCAGGAAAGAAGGGGAUCGCAAGACCUUGCGCUGAUUGAGCGGCCGGUGUCAGAUUAGCUAGUUGGUGAGGUAAAGGCUCACCAAGGCGACGAUCUGUUGCGGGUCUGAGAGGAUGAUCCGCCACACUGGGACUGAGACACGGCCCAGACUCCUACGGGAGGCAGCAGUGGGGAAUUUUGGACAAUGGGGGCAACCCUGAUCCAGCCAUGCCGCGUGAGUGAAGAAGGCCUUCGGGUUGUAAAGCUCUUUCGGCCGGGAAGAAAUCGCACAGGCUAAUACCUUGUGUGGAUGACGGUACCGGAAUAAGAAGCACCGGCUAACUACGUGCCAGCCGCCGCAGUAAAAC
rnacentral:rRNA from 1 species